GCUCAAGAGUUCUUCAAAGAAGCUGGAUAAGGGGACAUAGAAAUGGAUUGACCAGCUACACCAGAAUGGAUUGCUGCCUACACCAGAACGAUAAGGUGAUGAAUUUGGCUCUUUGGCAGAAUUCAAAAUUGUGCAGUGGUGCUGAUGUGGAUUCCUGAAUCUCUAGGACAGGACAACCAAUCACACAGGAGUCAGACAUUUAUGUCUGUAGGCUCCUUGGGACAUUUCUGGUCUAUUUCUGAAGAAUCCACAAAAGGUAAUUGAGGAGAGUAAAUCUAUUGCCAGUCAGCUUGGGUUUGCUAUAUAAGGAGCACUGCAUAUCUUCUGGAAAAUGCUUCAGACUCUUGAAACUGAUAUAAGUGCACGAUCAGCUGUCAGUGUGGCAGGUGGCCGUCAGCCUGCAAUCCUUAGCUGCAGAGAUGGACAGAACUUUGCAAGAGCAAGUGAACGGGAAGAAAGUAGGGCUAACAAAGCACACCAAAAAAAAGAGGACAGCAGGACUUUGUAGAGAAUACAUUAGAAAUAGGCUGGAGCUUUCAGAUCUGCUGUCCUUACCAAAAGACAUUUGUGAGCAGAGAGCUCUACAGCAAAGCCAGGCUGCUGCUCAAAGAUCCUAAUUCUGGGUCUGAAACUUCCUGGUUAGCACUGUGGGCGGAUGAUGCUUCCCUGCUGAUGCGCUGGCACUGGAGGAGGGAUGGGGAGAAGUCGGGCGCAGGGCCGGCAGCCCCUUCGGGAGAUGCACGGUCCCUCGCCAUCCCUUGCUGUGGCCCCCUGCAGCCCUUCCUCGGCAGUCCCUGCGCUCACGUCUCUCCCCAGCCCGCUCCCCUCAGGAGGGGCCCAGCGGAACCCGCCUGCCCCGGCCAUCACCAGGCCUGCCGCCCCCGGCCCCGAGCCGCCUCUGCUGCCUCCCGGCCCGCAAGUUCUGGGGCGCCCGCACCGCCCACCGGGCACGGGCACAGGCACGGGCAG